GCCAUUCUGAUCUUUCAAUCACUCAUGUCAGCUAGUCCCUAAAGUCCACUUACCAGAUCUCAGGUAGAGACAUCGGAUCUGAAAACUGCAAUCACUGGACCUUUGAGGGGCAAGGCAGGCAGGCACAGGCAGAGAAGUGUUCCAGCGAGGGGCCACCCACGUCUGGGUCUGUCUGGAUGUCCCAUUCACUCCCUGCUGCCCAGUGCCAUCCCAUGAGAAGAGGCAUUUCUACUGGGGUUAGUGAGCAGCUCUGACGACUGCUCCCAUUCCAUACAGCUGAAAGAAAAAAUAACAUCAUCCUAUCACACAAGAAUGGGACAUCAUGGAUAAGGUAUGUGUCCUAGAUAAGUGUCCUACCAACUACACCUCUAAACUCAGGAACAGGAGUUCUUGAGUUUCAUCGGAAAAUUUCUGCUGCAACACGGGCCUCCUGAGGUGGCUUGAGGACCCCAUGACAGAUGAGCAUCCAUGAGAUUAGCAGGAAUAAGGAAGAGAUGAGCUGGCUGUUGGCAAGUAUGUCUCAUCUCUCUAUCUCAAGUGAAGUCUUCGAGACAUUCUUCAUCCCUUCCCCGGGGAGCUAAGAAAUGACUGGACUCUCCUGUCUGUGUGUAGUUUAAUAUAAGUGCCCAUUAAAUUUCUUCUGCAAUUUAGGGAACUCUAUCUGAUUGGUUGUUUUGGUCAGCUUUAGGAUAUUGGUCUGAAAAAGGGCCAUAAAUUCUGUUUUCAAUUUUGUUUCUGUGCCUUUUAUGCUUUAAUAUGCCCCUGCAGACUUGCUGAGCCUGAUGCUCCAGCUGGGGAGAGAAAUGGUUCCAGAGAAGAGACAUCCAACCUCUGAAAGAAUUUCAACCCAAGCAAGAGUCUUGACCUUUAAAGACUUGAAGCCUAGUUGGGACCCAGCUAGUAGGUGGUGUUGUGUUGAAGGUUCACACGUCUCAUCCGACCCCCUUCUUCAGCAGAUUCCUUCUGCAUUCCCCUCAUCAGGGCUCACCCGACUCUAGCUGCAGGGUUUGACAUUUGAUUCAGAACAGGCCAUUAGAGAACUCACUUCCUUGGGAUGAGAAGGGACCACUGAAGCUGGGCCAAUCAUAGCCUUCCCUGGAGCUAUUGAGCAGCAGGCUGCCCAUCCCAUGGGUCCAGCUAUGCCUGCAGCCCAGGAUUCCCCUGGAAGUUCCCAUUACACAAGCCAGUAAGUCCCUCCUGGUUCCCCUCCCCCCUUUUUCCCACUGACAAGCAUUUUGAACUGGAGUGUCAUUGUUUGCAAUUGAAACAGUUAUGAAUGACACAAAUGGCACUUGUCCCUUUGAGUCCCAAAUCUAGGUGUGCAUCCAGUGUGCCUGGGAUAUCGCUGCUGUCCUCCACUCCCUCUUCUUCCAUGAAAAAAUGCUAAGUGGGCUGAACAGCUGCUGGCUUCCACCCUUGGCACUACACAUGCCAAGACCACCCAAGGACUGUCCUCCGUGCCCAGCCUGGGUGCUCUACUCGGAAAGGACUGCCUACUGUUGAGGAUGGCAGACAGAGAAGUGGAACUCCCAAGCCCCUUGGAGCCCAAAAGAUUACGAUUAAGUCCCAGACACUGGACACUAGCUUUUUACACUGUUUCAUGAGGGUUUUGCUUUGAUUGGCUCAUAACUGUAUCCUGGUUCUUUUCUCUAGAAGUAAGAAGGCAUUUAACUUUUUUUUUUGUUUUGUAGGAUCCCACAGUUAAGAGACUUUGGAUUUUAAAGAAAACUUGGACUUUGAAAGUGUUAAAAAAAUGUAAAACUGGGAUUUUUAACAUUGGACUGUGUUUUAUAUUGUGAUAUUAACAUGGGAUUUGGGGAAUAAGCAAGGAAGGAAAGGUUGUGGCUGAAUAGUGUAUGUUUGUGUGUGAAAGUUGAUAAGGGGUGAAUUAUCAUAGUUUUUGCCAACUCAACACAACACACCUGGAAAGAGGGAAUCUAAAUUGAGUAAUUGUCUUCAUCAGAUUGGCCUGUGGACAUGUCUGUGAGACAUUCACCUGAUUAAUGUUGAUAUGGGGAGGCCCAGCCAACUGGGGAUGGUGCCAUCUCCAGGCAGGUGGUCCAGGGUGUAUACAGAAGCAAACUGAUCAAGCCACGGGGAGCAAGCCAGUAAGCAGCACUCCUCUAUGGUCUCUGUGUCAGUUCCUGCCUCCAAGUUCCUGCCUUGAGUUCCUGUCCUGACUUCCCUCAGUGAUGAACUGUUUGUUACCUGGAUUUGUAAAACAGAAUAAACCCUUUUCUCUCCAAGUUGCUUUUCAUCAUUGUGUUUAUCACAGUAACAGAAAACCAAGUUUGUUUUCUAAAGACCUCCCUUAGAGAUCUAUGGAAACUAAAUGGGAAGCGGAAGAGAACACGAAAGUUCAAACCUGACAAGCCUUCAGAUGUGUCUCUCAAGUUCAAAGAGCUCUAGCCCGGGAGGUUUGGUUGCUUUGGAUGCCAAUACUUAACCUAUUGUUGCUGCUUUGGGAGGCUCACCACCCAGCUCCCAAAUAAAUCACACAUGGAGGCUUGUUCUUACUUAUAAAUGCCUGGCCUUAGCUUGGCUUGUUUCUUGCCAGCUUUCCUUCAUUUAAAAUUAUCCCCAUCUGCCUUUUGCCUCUGGGCUUUUCCCAUUCUUUUACUGUAAUCUUACUUUCACUCUUACUCUGUGGCUGGCUGUGUAGCUGGGUGGCUGGCCCCUGAUGUCCUCCUCCUUCUCUCGCUCCUAAAUCUUCCUCUCCUCCCAGAUUUUUCUUUCUAUAUAUUCUCUCUGCCUGCCAGCAACCCCAUCUCUCUUUCCUGCCUUGCUAUUGGCCAUUAGCUCUUUAUUAGACCACCAGGCAUUUUAGACAGGGACAGUAACACAGCUUCACAGAGUUAAACAAAUGCAACAUAAACAAAAGCAACACACCUUAAAAUAAUAUUCUACGGCACUAUACUCCUCAUAACGAACUGGAAUGUGGCUGCCCACAGCCUGUGAAUGUCAGUCCCUUCUCUACUCUGGAUCUUCUUGUAUCCUUGGUUUUCCCUAAACUGCUUCCAGCCUGAUCAUGCUCUGUGGUGUUCUUGUGCAUGUGGCCUCUGCAUCACUCAGCAAAAAUAAUCAAGUCCACACACAGAAGGGAUUCAUGAAGUUCUCAUAGGACCCUGAUUCAUUCCCGCAAGCAUGGUUGUUAUAAAGUUAAUAGGCCUGACCUGAACUCCUUCUACAAGAGGACCCCUCAUUGUCACAAAAUUAUCCAUGGAUUCAAAGGACUGAGUAGUGGUGACAAAUGGGUCACAGCUAAUGAAGACAGGGUCCCAGUGGGAGUGGGCUGAGGUACAUGUCCAGUGGCCAUUUUUUUCUCAUCCUAUCUUCUUUGGAGAUGCAUUUUUCCAUCUGGAAAGUCAAAGCAGUGUCUCCCACGAAGCUAGAGUCAGUAAAGGUGUGGCAAGGGAGGGGAGGCCGAGGCCUCGCUUCUGUUGUUCCCAUUUGCUCACCGGUGGGCACAGUGGAGGAGGCGGGUCAUCUUUUUUUGCAGCAAUGAAACUGAUGUACUUGUGUUUGCAAGAGUCAGGAGAGGAAGCAUGUCACCGGUGUGGACUAUAACAGGG